rnacentral:rRNA from 1 species
GAGUUUGAUCCUGGCUCAGAACGAACGCUGGCGGCGCGUCUUAAGCAUGCAAGUCGAACGGUAAGGGAGAGCUUGCUCUCCCCUAGAGUGGCGGACUGGUGAGUAACGCGUAGGUGAUCUACCCUGAAGAUGGGGAUAGCUAGUAGAAAUAUUAGAUAAUACCGAAUAAGCUCAUUUGCAUAAAGGCAGAUGAGGAAAGGAGCUACGGCUCCGCUUUAGGAUGGGCCUGCGUCCCAUUAGCUAAGUUGGUGAGGUAAAGGCUUACCAAGGCAACGAUGGGUAUCCGGCCUGAGAGGGUGAACGGACACAUUGGGACUGAGAUACGGCCCAAACUCCUACGGGAGGCAGCAGCUAAGAAUCUUCCGCAAUGGACGAAAGUCUGACGGAGCGACGCCGUGUGAAUGAAGAAGGCUGAAAAGUUGUAAAAUUCUUUUGCAGAUGAAGAAUAAGGAUAGGAGGGAAUGCCUAUCUGAUGACGUAAUCAUGCGAAUAAGCCCCG